AAACAUUAAAAUAAACAAUGGUGAGAAAAGGUGUCAAAAGUUAUCACAGGGAUAAUUGGUUUGUGGCAGCUAAGCAUUCAUAGCUAUGAUGCUGUUUCAUCCCUUGAUGUCGGCUCUUGCUAUCAUGGUGAAGCAGAAUUCACCAAGCAUUGGAUUGUUCACCCACUAAUAUGAAACAUGAGCUGGGUUUAGACUAUUGUGAGGCUGGUUAGUUUUCCCUACUGAUAUUCUUUUGAAAUAGUAAUCCUGCUCAGCAUAAGAGGAACCGCAGGUUCAGACUUUUGAUGUAUGCACUUGGCUGAGCCAAUGGGAUGAAGCUACUGUCUAUGGCGGGGCGGCCAAACUUUUUGGCCUGAGAGCCGCAUCGGGUUUUGGAAAUUGUAUGGAGAGCUGGUUAGGGGAGGGGGGCGUGGCUUGGCCUCCUGCCCUCCGCCAGCCCGUCCAACCCCCCCUCAUUCCCAACUGCCCUGCCGGGAUCCCUGCCCCCAUUCAACCCCCCUGUUCCCCACCCUCUGACCGCCCCGACCCCUAUCCACACGACCACAUCCGCGCCCCCUGACCACCACCCCAAACUCCCCUGCCCUCUAUCCAAACCCCCCUGCCCUGUUACCGUGCUGCCUGGAACACUGGUGGCUGGCGGUACUACAGCCGCGCCACCCAGAGCACCAGGACAGGCUGCCGGGGCGCCCAGCUCGAGCCAGCCAAACCACC
rnacentral:ncRNA from 1 species